rnacentral:sRNA from 1 species
UGUGGUAUCAUUUCCGGGGUCUAUACCCUUA